GAUGAAAACGUAGCGAAAUGCGAUACGUAAUGUGAAUUGCAGAAUUCAGUGAAUCAUCGAAUCUUUGAACGCAUAUUGCGCUCUCUGGUAUUCCGGAGAGCAUGCUUGUUUGAGUAUCAGUAAACACCUCAACUUCCAUAUCUUUUUUGAAAUGGGAGUUGGACUUGAGUGAUCCCAACGCUUUUCCUCACCGAAAAGUGGCGGGUUACUUGAAAUGCAGGUGCAGCUGGACUUUUCUCUGAGCUAUAAGCAUAUCUAUUUAGUCUGCCUAAAAAACAGAUUAUUACCUUUGCUGCAGCUAACAUAAAGGAGAUUAGUUCUUGUGCUGACUGAUGCAGGAUUCACAAAGACGGCUUCGGCCGACUUUGUAAACUCGAUCUCAAAUCAAGUAAGACUACCCGCUGAACUUAAGCAUAUCAAUAAGCGGAGGA
rnacentral:misc_RNA from 1 species